UGAGGCAUAUGUGGAUGUUGAAGACCAUCUUGAUCUUGUAGUGCUCGCCAAAGGAAGAACUUGCAGCGCAACACAAUCAUGUCCAGGACUUCCAGUGCAGAACAGCUUGCACCCUAGCCCUGGAUGCGCCACCGCCAAGAGAGCUUAUUCGAACAGCGCCCGAGAAGAAGGAGCUCCCUUCUGCCGACAUAUAUACUGAUCCACCUUCAUUUUAUCAUAGAUGGCAGAAGUUU